AUUUAAAAAAGUAUUUUAGAUAGAAAGGAGUUUACAUGUUGAUAUAUUACUUAUGAGUGUUUACUUUACUUCAGUGUAUUGGUCUGAUCAGGGAAUAGAUAAUAUUGUUUCAUCAAUCACUGCAAUUUUUGACCAAUUCUAAAUCAAUCAACCAUUUAUCAAGUUGGUGAGACACGGUUAUAAUGAACUCUGUUGUAAAAAAGAUUAGGGGACAAAGAUAGUGCAGCUACAAAGCAUAGUCAUAAAAUUCAUAGUCAAUAGCGCUAUUGUUUACCGUAUUGUUAGCGUUUUUUUAGAACCCAGCCUACCAAUAAAUGCACACUUUUGGUAAACAAUGGCGCAUUAAAUGGAAUAUUUGCAAGAAGAUUAUCAGUUUAUUCUUGAUUUUGGCAUAUGCCUUGUCUUAAUUGUUAUAUAUUUAGUUCAAGAACUUCUCGAAGAAGUAUAAAUGUUUUUCUGUUUGAAAUACAUUCUUCCAAUGAUCUUUAUAACAAAGAAUCGAGUUUUACGAAAUAAAAAUAAAAAUACAUCUUUACUUAUAAUAUAUAACAACUAAAGAUAUAAUAUGAUAUCAGAUAAAAAAACAAGUUCAACUUCACAAUAAAUAAUUUUUAUAACUUCUUUUUAUUAACAUGAAUGAUAGCUUUGUAUCAUCUUCCAAGAAAACGAACCUUUAAAAGCUCAUGGAAGGUGAAUGAACAUGAACUUUUUUUAAAGAAACAAAAUUCAUGAACUUAUUUGUAGAACACGUUGCAGCAAAGAUCGUUUGUAAAAAUAAGAAUGUUUUUUUAAACGAAAUUCUUGAACUUAAUUGUAGAAGACGUUUGCUUAAUCUCAGUUUAUGCAUUUAUUUGCUGUGUUAAAGAGACACUAUUUGAAUGCUGCUAUGUUAUUUUAAGUACGUAGAAAUCUCGUUUUACUGAGUCGAAUUUGUGCUAAAAUUCAGUACAACGAUUUUUCAACUUUUUUUAAGGUAGUGUUAGACAAAUCUUUUUUUGAUGUGUUUCUUUUUAAAAACAUAUUCUUGAAAAUAAGAAAGGUAUAGCAUUUUUAUAUAAUUUUUUUGUUACUAAACUUUAGAUAAAAAAACAAUUGACGAGAUUUAAUGCCUUUUGACAAGAUGAGACUUUUGACUGGAUUACAAGUAAUAUACUAGUUUUAAUAAUACUAGGUUAUGCAAUAACUGUAUAAAUUAUUUUUCAAAACUAUUUAUAAUAGUUUUGACAAUACUUCACUAUAAUACAAUAGUAUUGACAAUACUUUAACAAUUUAUAGUAUUACUAUAAAAUAACUAUUAAAGUAUUGUACUGUCAAAAAUUGUUCUAUGCAAUCUAAAAGUAAUAGUCAAUCUUUUCAUCUAUAAUUGCAAAAAUUUAAUAUUUGACUUGUCUGAGUACUGGCUAUUGCUAAUCAAUCAAUUUGUUUCAGAUUCCGAAGAAAAGUCUACAGAGGUAGAAAAAAGUAAUAUUUACAUUAUUUAUUGAUGUGACAAUCUUUUGUUGUUUAUCAUCUUUAAUUUUUAAUUUUAUUUAGAAUUACCAUUCGUAAAUUUUACACAUCGCAAACUUUAUUGAUAAAAACCUAAUAAGUUAGCAUUUCCUUAUUAACUAUGCUUGCUUUUUAUUAUCUUCUGGUAAUAAGAGCAUGCAAGAGUGCUUUACAACGAAACGAGAUCAAAAGUUACGACAAGCUAAAAGGCGCGGAUGUAUUCGCUGACAAAGUUUAUAAAUAUAAAUUAACAAGAAGAGUGUCUGAAGCACUACUAGCUGCCCCAAGCUGUUUUAGUAAAUUUAUUAUUUAAAAAAAUUAUUGUGUUUAAUAAAUGAGCUUUUUAUUUAA